GACGAACGCUGGCGGCGUGCCUAAUACAUGCAAGUCGAACGCUUCUUUCCUCCCGAGUGCUUGCACUCAAUUGGAAAGAGGAGUGGCGGACGGGUGAGUAACACGUGGGUAACCUACCCAUCAGAGGGGGAUAACACUUGGAAACAGAUGCUAAUACCGCAUAACAGUUUAUGCCGCAUGGCAUAAGAGUGAAAGGCGCUUUCGGGUGUCGCUGAUGGAUGGACCCGCGGUGCAUUAGCUAGUUGGUGAGGUAACGGCUCACCAAGGCCACGAUGCAUAGCCGACCUGAGAGGGUGAUCGGCCACACUGGGACUGAGACACGGCCCAGACUCCUACGGGAGGCAGCAGUAGGGAAUCUUCGGCAAUGGACGAAAGUCUGACCGAGCAACGCCGCGUGAGUGAAGAAGGUUUUCGGAUCGUAAAACUCUGUUGUUAGAGAAGAACAAGGACGUUAGUAACUGAACGUCACCUGACGGUAUCUAACCAGAAAGCCACGGCUAACUACGUG
rnacentral:rRNA from 1 species